CAAUAUAUUAUGGAAUAAAGCUUUCCCUUUUCUAAGUUCUUUCUCUCUUUCUUUAUUUUAUUCUUUUUAUAUUUCCCGCAUCAAGGAUCCUUUUCAAAUGGUAUCAGAGCCAGGUUGCUGUUAAGCCCCUUUUGCGUAAAGGCUUAAAUAUUCCUAUUUGUUUAGUGCUUAGAGAUGCUAGACUUCUCAAUGUUGAUGAUUCGUUAUUAGGAAUCUUAGAAAGUAAUCUAGCUCAGGGGCCAGUUUACUUCAAUUGUUAUCCUAAUUUCUAUGUAGAGAUAGAAGACCCUAAUAUUCUUGAUACCUUGACACUUAAUGUCAAAACCAAGAAUAUGAAUAGCAAAUAAGGAACCAGAGAUUUAGCUGUAAUAUAUCGGGUAUAUUACAAGCUAAUGAAAACAACUAUUGCCCCAAAGGCAAUUAACUCUAGUCCGAAAAGGUAUUACUAUGCUUAUGGAAUCAUACCAAGAGCAUAGCACUACUUUUUGUGCCAAGAAUGUUAAAGUGGAAUGAGAUUCUUUCCGAUGAAAGUUGGAAAUUUGAAUCUAUCAUCGAACCCCUUCCAGUUCAGCCUUCGAGGUCUUCCUUAGAAAGUAUUCUUCAAUUUGCAGAUGGAUCUGUUAACCUUAAAUUUCUUAGAUCCAACUCUUUUGACCAUGAGUCUUCCAGUUGAAGAAUGUCUAUGGCUAGACCUUCUACUUCAAAGACCCGGGAGGGAGAGGAUGAUUUUUAUGGAACCACUGAGGUUUCAGAACAAUAGGGUAAGUUCCGCGGGGUAGAUUUCACCCAAACCAUCCACAAAGUUUAUUAUGAUUCUUCUUUUGCAAGAAGUCCUACUCCUAGCGAAAUGAAAGCUUCUUCUCAUACGAAAAAGGAUUCUAUAGGAGUUAUUAAGUCAGUCGACAAAGUUAAUCCUGACACAAAAAAGAUUAAUAAGUGGUGGAUGAGACCUAAGCAUGCUUUAAAGAAAGCUUGGUAUGUUGAUACAUACACAAGGGAUCAGAGAGUCUUGUUCAAAGACAAAUGUUUUAAGGAUAUGAAGAGAUUCAAAACUGAAAUUUAAUUCUUCAAAUGGGUUGAAUCUACAGGCCAAAUCGGAGAAUCUAAUUCAUCUCUUCAGGUUUUGGUUAACAGAUGGCAUACCAAAGACAAGGUAGUCGAAAGUGUUACUCCUCCUCUUGAAGGUAUACACAUCCCUUAUAGAAAAGAUGUUUUGAAAGCAACACCUUUCAAAAAACCUUCAGAACAUAAAGAAAACAACUUAGUGACUAUUGAAGAAAUAAACGUCUUUGAAAAAAAUAAUUAUACUAACCAGGUCCUUCAUGUUGUCUCGAAACAAAUUGAGGACUUAAAGUAUAAUUAUAGUGGUACCAGCCAGAUUGGUAACAAACCCAGUUCCUCCAAAUAAGGUUUUUCAUCUUAGAAACUAAUCCUAUCUUCAAAAUCCAUAAAUUUCCCCAGAGGAUUUCCCUAAGCUAGCUAAUGACUUCAACAACUCUCCAGAAAUCCUUGAAAGGAUUAGUGAGCAACUUAAAAGGAUUAAGAUUUCUCAGGGUGAUAAGGUUGGAGCUAUAAAAGACAGACUUCCUCACUACAAAAACUUUUAUCCCCGACCUUCUUUUCCUGAUAUCUAGUUCAAAGAAAACAAUAUGCACCCCAGAGUGUUGCAGAUGGUACAGCAAUAACAGAAUGGAAUAUAGAUGGUAUGGCUGAUAGUCAAAUCUAUAACAAACUCCAAGAGAUGGGCAUGAACAUCACAACCUAUAAAUGGAAGAGUGCCACCGAUAAGCAUGCAGCUAAUAGGAUAGUUGCAGGUUUUACAGGGACGCACAGAAUCGGUGGGACAACUAUCUCAAAGAACUAAAUAAAAAUGAGAUGCUUGAUGCUGUUGCAAGCAAGAAUGUUGUUAAGACUGAAGGAGGUCAAACUACUACUUCUUUAUAGGCUAGCAAGAACUAGGUUUUGGGGGCUGGAAAAGGGUGGAUUCUUCAUCAAAUUGUUGAGAAACAUUAAGGAUUCGGUCGUUGAAGAGUUUUGAAGGCAAUAUUGUUGAAUGCUUGGAUUCUUCAUUUCAUCAAAGUAGGGUAGGUCCUCAACUUUUGAGGGCAACGCCAUCUUCUAGCUUUGGAUUCUGUUAUGAGUUUAUUGACUCUAUCAUUUAUUUCCUUGUUAUUUGAAUAUCGUACUUUCGUAUGACCUAUACAUGGUCUUGUUGAAUUGAUGUAAGGGAUACGCCAAUAUUGCGACAUUCGUUUAGAUUGUAUGAGAACGGACAAUCGUUGAGACUAUUUCUAUAUCUUUAUAUAUAUGUUCAAUAAAAGUAGAAGGCUAUGUAACCUUCAUAUAUAAAUUGUCUACGUA